rnacentral:lncRNA from 1 species
CUUAUCCACAGCAUUAUGCUUCCACCAGCAUGCCUUACAGACUUCCAAAACACACCCUUAUGUUUCAGAUUGUCCCUGGCAAGAACCACGAAGUGCCUCACAACAGUUUUGCGUGAAACAUCAAGUCCAGAAGAAGCAAGUUCAGCAACAAUCAUCUUUGCAGAGGUCCGGGGAUUACUGUUGACAUCUCUGAUUAUUUUUCCAUGCAAAGUAUUGGAAAUAUUGCAUUUUCGACCACGGCCGUGUUUAUUUUUAACAGACUUUGUUUCUUUGUGCUUUGCGAGGAUGCAAUGCACAGCUGUUCUAGAAACCAUGAAACGCUUGGAAAUGGCAGUAUAUCUUUCCCCUGUAACGGAGGAGCAGACGGGAGGCGGAUUUAUAUGCGGGAAGGCACCACCACUGCCUCAGCCCGUUGUUGGAAGACUGCAAAAGCACAAGCUACAGCCAGUGGGACGGCACGAGUGCUACUGAUGGAACACUUUAAUGUUGAUGUUCUUCUGAACUUUAAGCAUACCUUUAUCUGUUUUUGUAUUAUACAUACAGUAGUAUAUUAUAUUCUUGAAUAUAUAGACCGUUUCAAUGAGGAAAACAAUAACAAAGCUACUGCGCAUGUCUGUUCCCUCGACGCUUCAGGUGGCACUAUUUUUAAGUAUACAGCUUUCAAAAUGAGAAGUCUCCCGAAAACAGAGCAAACAUAUGGUCAGAAAUUAGUAAAAAGUGUUCAAACCUCUUUCAUGAUCCUUUUGAUAAGGAUUUAAGAGGGAAGUUAUUUCCUCUGAUUUAAAACGCUUGCCAGAGGGGACCUACCCAGAUGUGAUCACUACCUUGUUGAAACAGAGGCAGUAAAAGCACACCGCAGUUUGGGCGCAUAUAAUUACUUUCUCAGUGGAAAAGUUGGGAAUAUUUGUUCCUGUAUUAGAGAAUGCAUUACUAUAAUGUAUGGUGAGGUUGGAGCAAGUCAAACGCUAUCCAACACGUACUCUACAUGGUUUAUAGAUAAGAAGGAGGGAGAAGUUGUGAGCGGACACUGUAACUGCAGGCAGGUCAGCAGUGUGAAAAACGAAAGCAGGCGUGUUUACUAUGGAGGACCAAAAUAUAAAUAAAAAAAAGUAUAAAUAAAUAAAUGUUAAAAUA